rnacentral:rRNA from 1 species
UGAAAGAUUCAUCGGUGGCGGAUAGGCUCGCGGGACAUUAGCUAGACGGCGGGGCAACGGCCCACCGUGGCGACGAUGUCUAGGGGUUCUGAGAGGAAGACCCCCCACACUGGGACUGAGACACGGCCCAGACUCCUACGGGAGGCAGCAGUGAGGAACAUUGGUCAAUGGGCGGAAGCCUGAACCAGCCAUGCCGCGUGAAGGACUAAGGCCCUACGGGUCGUAAACUUCUUUAGACGCAGAGCAAUAAGGUCCACGAGUGGACCGAUGAGAGUAUGCGUAGAAUAAGCAUCGGCUAACUCCGUGCCAGCAGCCGCGGUAAUACGGGGGAUGCGAGCGUUAUCCGGAUUCAUUGGGUUUAAAGGGUGCGUAGGCGGCCGAGUAAGUCAGCGGUGAAAGACCGGGGCUCAACCCUGGAAGUGCCGUUGAUACUGUUUGGCUGGAAUGAUCCCGCCGCGGGAGGAAUGAGUGGUGUAGCGGUGAAAUGCAUAGAUAUCACUCAGAACACCGAUUGCGAAGGCAUCUCGCGAGGGGUCAAUUGACGCUGAGGCACGAAAGCGUGGGGAUCGAACAGGAUUAGAUACCCUGGUAGUCCACGCGGUAAACGAUGAUGGCUAACUGUCGGGCCUGCGGGUUCGGCGGC